GGGGGGGGAUAUGUCUUCAGCCCGAGCAACCAGAUUCUAUUUCUCUGUCUCUCGCUCUCUCUUUCUCCCCCCGCCCCCCCUCAAUACGACCCUACUUGGCCACCUUUCUAUUUAUCUCGUUCUCUAUUAGUUAUCAUUACUAUUAUGAUUAUUAUUAUUAUUAUUAUUAUUAUUAUUAUUAUUAUCAUUUGUUGUUUCGAGCCCGCUCAUAACCAUCUCCCUGCGGUUCUCACACAGUUUGCAUGACAUGUGGUGGAGAUGGAGUCCAGUCCUCGUACAUUCUCAGUCUUAACGCAUCUGUCGGCAUGAUGUGGCGUUCCCAUCUCCCUUCUCCCCUCAGCCGCUGACUCCAAUGCUGGCUUUGCUAUUUGUGGCCACGCUUUUCGCCAGUUUUUUAGAGGGUGCUGAUUGGUCGCGUCUACGGAUAUUCAGUUCUCAUUGUAACCCUUUAAAAAAACAACAACAGUCUUUAGACCCAAAGAAAGCACAGGUGCGUGACCUUGCGAUCACCUUCGCUAUAACCUACAUCUGCCCCGGGUAGACCCCCUUUGUCUUGCUAAUCUGUUGUAAUUGGCGGAAUAAUACUGCAUUGAGAUAAAAGCUUCCUGCGUAGCUAUUUCGGUGGUGCUAAGCCUCAUUAGCACCUUGAUGCUCUCCCAAGUUACCCACACUGUAGUGUCCUUUGACCUCAAAAUCCCAACACCAGAUCCCAGUUCCAAUCCAGACCCUUCCGUCCCAAACCCCUCCACCACGCUGGCUAGCCUGCUGCUCUGAGUGGCUGCUCCUCACGACUGUUCACUGGCAGGGGUGGUCUGCCACAGCGAUGAUGGACCACCAGGCCUUUUAUAUAAAGUGCCAAAUACUAAACUACUACACAAUGCUGCCAGAAAUGAAAAAGACGCGUCAAAUACACCGAGAGAGAAGGAGAAAUGAGAGAAGGAAAAAACAAAACAUGUUACCUCCUGUUUGAAGUCUUUAUACACUGACAUAUUAUGCAUCAUUCAACAUUUCUGUAAAAAAAGAAACUGCAAAAAAAAAAAUCACAUUUAGAGGGUGGUAGCAACGAUGAUUAGACCAAAAUACCAUAAAAUAUCUGCCAGCUCAGUCAAUAAUGACACCACGCUCAGCCUACCACUAGUGCUAUAGGUGUAUUACUGUUUAAAACAAGACUAGUGGGAUCCUCACAUGGAGAUAUUUGAUCGACGGAAUGCGAUGCCUUUCCAUCAUACUGGAUUCUAUUAAUAUUUAGAAUUUUGUUUCGUUCUACAAGUUACAUGUUUUUUUUCUUUUUGUUUUCUCAGGGUGUCUGUGAUAGAAAGCCUAGACCAGAGCCGUCUAUUUUGUGCAUUUAUUUAUCUAUGAACACACGCAUACAGAACAUUUAUAUCUUAUAUGAACAUAUUUUCGUAUAUCGUAUCUCUUUACUCUACUACCCUCUAUGUAUAAGCCAGUGUAGCCCUCCUUGCUAGUCCUAAGUGUAUCCCAAUAGUGGGUACUGUUGCCUUCCUAGCUAGCCCUACCAUAGCACAGGUGGCCGUGGCUUUGAUCAUUACGCUCAUUAAAUCCCACGGUUAAUCUUUCUCAGAUGGAUUUCCCCGAGGCAGCCUGGGCCCACUUAAAGUCUGAGCUCAUAGUCAAAUUGGCUUAGACUAAAAACCACUCCCAUCCACCUUUCCAAUUCCCAAACCCAUUUGAUUUGUCUAACAAGAGUCACUGGGUUACAGACUUCGAAGAACCACUACGACUUGUUAGAGCGCUCGAGUCCGUUGUUACGUUUGGGGAGUAAAGAAAAUAAACCCCUGCAUCCAAAUGACUGCGGCCGUCACGUCCACUUAGCAAGCUUAACUAGUAAAACUGGUAUCGACUGGGUAAUGCCACGAGGUUUAAAUCGGCCAAAUGUACAGUCCCUGUCUCUGUUUUGAUGUUGAACUGGACAAAAAUACAUGAAUGAAUAAAUAACUAAAUAAAUGAAUAAAACAAGUGUAUCAGAAAUGGUUGAAAUACUGUGUACAUAUUUGAACUUUUGGUUUCUAAUUUAUAAAAGAUAAGCUUUAGCUCUUGGAGUAAUUUUUUGUUUCCUUUCAUGCGUAGCUUUGUGUUUUAUUUUCUAUUUCUGUAAAGUGUGUAAAUAUAUCUUUAUGAUAAUAAGUAAUAUUAAAAUCUUAUUUUAAGAAA
ensembl:lncRNA